GGUCGCUGUGGAGAUAAGGAAGACGCCGUCGCAAGUUCAACGUCGUGCCAACCCACCCCAUCCCGAGCCGAGGUAUGCCCCAUUUUCACCCGGAGAAAGAGAGGGAGGACAGGAUCUUGCCGCUAUCGUGCUGGACCCAGCCGUCGCCGCGUCUAGGUCGAGGUCGCCCGGAUGCGCUUGGCUCGGGGUCCCCUCGCUCGAUCCGGCGGCCACUGCUCGCCACUGGGUUGGGGCGCCGCGCUCGGGGGAGGGCUCGCUGGAGAUGCGCGACGGCCCUGGACGCUACCAUGCAGCACCGGAGACGGGUGACGGCCGUGGUGGAGGCUUCGGGGGUUCCCGGACUGAGGAAAAGAAAGAGGUGGAUGGACGGAGGGAGAUGGCGUGGGCUAGCUAGGAUGAGGAUUUGGGGACGCCGGUGCUCCCACUCGAGGAAAAGGGCUGGGGAGAACAGCAAAACGCCGGUGGCCCGGUGGCCAGGUGGAUUGGACGGGUGAGAGAGCUGGGAUGGGUUGCCUGGCUGUGGUUCUAUUGAACUGAAUUAAUAUGUUCAGUGCUACUAAAUAUUUUAAGUGCUACUAAAUAUUUUGAGUGCUACUGAACUGAACUUGUGAAUUAUUCAAAUGGGAUUUACAUAGAUCUCCUACUGAAUAUGUUCAAUGCAAGAGUAAAAAAGAGAGAAUAUUUUCCUCAAUUUUAGACAUUUUCUCAUAAUUAAACGUACAUUAAUAGAGGUUUUUCUUGAUCAUAAUUUUCUGAGUUGUCGGAAUGUUAUGUGUUUACUUAUUUUCCAUUUGUCUGAUCAGACAGAAAUUAAAUUGUUUCUUUCUCCCACAAACAGAGACUAUGCAUGUGAGUUCACUUAUCUUGGUUUGCAUAUGGAUGAACUAAUAGGUGAUGAAGUGGAUUUGUAUUUCUGGUUAUAUGCUUCUAGAGAAGGUUGUGUAUGUGAACAAGGAGAAAACUUUUGAAUCAUCUACUUGACAGGUCGCAAAGUUAUCACAGAUGCAAUAUAUUGAUGUUAUAAGUUCGAAGUCAAGCAGGUAUUUUAUUUCUAACUUAAUAAAUCAUUCAGUAUUAUAAAUCAAUAAUGUUCUUUCUAUAUCAUCUUUCAAUUUCAGAGUGGUGCUAAGGACCUAAGGUACCAACUGAAUGUACGAGCAAAAACAUAAUUCAUAUGCAAGUACAGGAUGCUGGAUUCUUUAAUUGUGAGUGCAAACUUUUUUUCAAUAUUUCAGUUGACCACUAGGUAGUAUUUUUGACAUCCUUUUUGUUCUCACCCUUUCCUACUUUCCUUCAUUUUUGUUCCCCUGUUCUGUAGAGUAAGAAAUGAAAAGAAAACCAAUAUCUAUUUUUCUGACAGUAAAAAAGCAAACCUGUGACUAUAUAUGCUGGAAUCAACAAAUAAUAUAUUUGUAUUGCACAAUAUAGUACAUUCUAUCAACAUCUUAAGUUUAUGUUGUCGUAUAUAUCACCAUGACACCAUCUGGAAGAUUAUCUUUCUCUAAAUCAUGUGGUCCAUUUUCAGGUAUGAGUACCAAAUUAAAGCAAAUGGAUUACAUAGGAGAAAACACCAUGUCUGUUUCAUUAAACACUAUCCCACAUUGUGUGUAAUACAGAAACAAUGAAUGAUGAUCUCCAGGCAGAUAAAUUCAGAUUGUUUAUCCCUCUCCAGUCAUGCAAUAUGGUGUUUCUUUUACUUAUUGUAUCCGUCGGUUUAUUUAUGAAAUUGUAAUGCACAUAUUGUGGAAUAGAUACUGAACUCCGCUUUCGUAGAGAUCAUAGUGAGCUUCACCUUUUAUUCCUGAGAUUUUAUUAUGGUUAUGUAGGUGUUGCCUUCCAAGGUUGUAAAUAUAAACUACCAUGCCGUAAACAUAGGGCUAAAGCCGCACUUAUAAGUAACGUAAUACUCAGGUUGAGCAGCCCUUGGG
rnacentral:lncRNA from 1 species